GGAUGUGAGGGCGAUCUGGCUGCGACAUCUGUCACCCCAUUGAUCGCCAGGGUUGAUUCGGCUGAUCUGGCUGGCUAGGCGGGUGUCCCCUUCCUCCCUCACCGCUCCAUGUGCGUCCCUCCCGAAGCUGCGCGCUCGGUCGAAGAGGACGACCAUCCCCGAUAGAGGAGGACCGUUCUUCGGUCAAGGGUAUACGAGUAGCUGCGCUCCCCUGCUAGAACCUCCAAACAAGCUCUCAAGGAAAAUUAAAGGUGAUUGUGUCUAUGUGCUUUUACUAUUUUUUUUAAUAAGGCAUUAAAGAGAUUCAGUUCCUCCCAGUUCUUAAUAUGUACUUUU
rnacentral:snRNA from 1 species